rnacentral:rRNA from 1 species
AGUAUACAUAAGUAACCUGCCCUAGACAGGGGGAUAACUAUUGGAAACGAUAGCUAAGACCGCAUAGGUACGGACACUGCAUGGUGACCGUAUUAAAAGUGCCUCAAAGCACUGGUAGAGGAUGGACUUAUGGCGCAUUAGCUGGUUGGCGGGGUAACGGCCCACCAAGGCGACGAUGCGUAGCCGACCUGAGAGGGUGACCGGCCACACUGGGACUGAGACACGGCCCAG